rnacentral:rRNA from 1 species
UACGUAGGUGGCAAGCGUUGUCCGGAAUUACUGGGGGUAAAGCGCGUGUAGGCGGGAGGCCAAGUCUGCUGUGAAAUCGCUCGGCUCAACUGGGCGGGGUCGGUGGAAACUGGUCACCUGGAGGACGGUAGAGGCGAGUGGAAUUCCCGGUGUAGUGGUGAAAUGCGUAGAGAUCGGGAGGAACACCAGUGGCGAAGGCGGCUCGCUGGGCCGGUCCUGACGCUGAGACGCGAAGGCGUGGGGAGCGAACGGG